UAUACAUUUUAUGCUUUAAGACUUUUGUAUGCUCUUUUAAUCUCUUCUGAAACCUCAGGAUGUCUCUGAAGCAGAAAGUUCUAAGUAGCAUCAUAAAAACAUAUAAAAUAAUCUUUUAAAUGUUUUCCCACAACUUUGUAACAAUUUGAAGUGUCCAAAACACAAAAAUUACUGCUGACCGAUUUUGGUAUGUUUUUAGGGAUGCUUCUUUAAUGGCCAUGAGGCGGCGUAUCAAUGGCUUAAGUCCAGAGGAGAUCCGUGCACUUUCUAAGGAGGAACUUCAGAUGCCUGUUACCAAAGGAGACUUUGAGUUGGCUCUUAAGAAAAUUGCUAAGUCUGUCUCUGCUGCAGAUUUGGAGAAGUAUGAGAAAUGGAUGGUUGAAUUUGGAUCUGCUUGAGUUUUUGUCAGCUCUUUCAUUUUCAGUGUAUUUAUUUAUAAAAUGUGAAGAAAUUCCUGCAGUUUUUCAAGACAGGUUUGGAAUUUUUCAUUUGAGAAGUUCUCACUUAGAGGCAAAAAAGAAAACUAAAACCACAAAGUACUAAAUGUGGUUUUGAACUAAGAAAAACUUGAAUAGAGAAUCUGAUUGUCUCCCUUGCCUGGCCUUGUGCUGGUAUUCCACGUACUCAUGCAUUGAUAUUCUGCACCCAAACCAGUAAGUAUAUCAGGGAGGCCAAAGAAAGUAGCAGUGUACUGUUUUAGAAACUUAUUUACAAAAGAUUUAGAAGGAUGUUCCUUACUUGCAUUUGUCUCUCUUUUUGUUUGUUUUUCAAUUUAUUGCUCUAUGACUAUGAGGGAGCUAUAUAUAUUGGCUUUUAACAACAAAACUGGGUUUGCAAAUUCAUUGUUAUAAGAAAAAUGAUAGUAAGUUUUGGAGGAAAUAAGGAAUUUGCUAGUUUCAAUCUUUAGAUUUCAGUUCCUACUUAACUGUUAGAGUGUAACAGUUAUAAUUUUCACUCCUUCCUUCCCCAUUGUUUCCUUUAUUAGCUGUUUGAUUAUUUUUUUGAGCACUAUCGAGAAAUAACCUGUGCUCUGGGUUUUAAUCGUUUUGCCAGGUGGUUUCUCUGGUCCAUAGCAUUUUUUGCUAAUAUCUCUUAUAAGGAGUGCUUCUUCAUUCUAGACUUCUGAGUUUGUUUUUGCUUUUCUUUCAACAUGUUGAACCAGUUACAGCUAAUAUUUUUCUCAGCUCCAACACAAUUUGAUUUUUGUUGAAUUCAAUUUUAGUAUUUAAGAAAAUACUUUGACAUUUUAAACAAACCCAGUCUGCAUGGCUAAUGCAAAACAAAAUGUUUGUAGUUUUCCACACAGCUUGUUUAACAACACCAUCAUAUGUAAUGAAUGAUGUUUACUUGAAAAGUUUGAAAUUCUUCCUUGUCUAGAUGAAGAACUGGUACACAAAGUAAGAUCAGGUUAGAAAUCUGUCUGCUCAUUCAGACCAGCAGGAAUUAGAUGGUAGAUCAGAGCCAGGAAAGGCAAAUGACACAUAUCUAAUCACAAGUAGAGUAUUCUGAGGGGUUAGGUCUUAUAGUUAAUUACAUUUAUUCUAUUUGAAUCAUUAGACAAUCUGUUUUAGUGAUCAGGCUUUUUAAAAUUGGUAUUUGAUGACAUACUAAAUUCUUGAUUUUGAAUAGCACCUACUGAUUUAAAGCAUAUAUUAUAUGGCUUGUAGACACAGGAGAAACUCUUAGUGUCUUGCUUAAAAGAUUUAACUUUUUCCCAUUAAGAACUCUAAAUGCCUCAUGUUCUUUUCAGAUAACUUAAGUCUUCUUUUAAACUUCAGUAUUUAUCUGAUGCAAUAAAUUUCCCUUUUUCCUCAGAGACACAGAUAAGACUCUAAAUCAUAAGGCAUCAUGAUUUUAUUAUAAUUGGAUUAAUUCAUCUUGAAAAACUGAAAUGAAGUUGCCUUUUAUUUAUUAACUUUUAUUUUAUUUAUUUAUUUAUUUAUUUUUGAGAUGGGCUUUCCCUGUGUUGCCCAGAAUGGUCUCAAAUCUCUGGGGUCAAUUGAGCCUCCCACCUCAGCCUCCCAAGAAUGUGGGACUAGAGGUAUGCCCUGCUGCACCCGGCUCUAGUUGUAAACUUUCAAAAUAAAGAAAUAAUCCCACCAAAAUUAUCUUGUGGACUAUUGCCAUUCAGUAGUGUAUUUUUUCCCCUAAAUUUUUUGGGACAAUUGUUAAAACAUAGUUAUGUAAUUAAGAAAACUUCUCUGUCACAAUUUAAUUGAUUUGUAGACCUUUUCUAGGUUUUGUGUUACUUACCUCAGCGUGUAUUUAAUUGUUUUAAUUCUUUAAGGAUAAUGACAUAGCAAUUGUGUUUCUUUUAUUACCAGUUAAGCAGUAUUUGGGACUCAAAACUUCCCAGAAGCUUAUCUUGACUUAAUUGAGUCAUCUGUGCUUGUUUCCCUUGUUUCUCGUUUUGCUCUGUCAGUGGAUGGUGAAGGCUUUGUAUAUCUAAGCCCCUUAAAAGAUCACAAAGAGUCCCGCACGUGUUCUGUCCAUUUUUUAGUAUACACUGCCUUUAUUGCAAGACAGUGUGUUGCCUUCCCUGGAAUGAGAAAGAAUUGCUUUGGUUUGCUUUUCUAUGUUGUAAAAGCAGAUGCAUUAUCAGAAGUAUACAUUUUAGUUCCUUUAAUUCUGGAAACGUGAGUGUUCAGGGUUCUGUGGCACAAUGAUGUUAGGACUGCACUGGGUAUAAUUCUGCUUUUCAGAUAUAUAAUCAGAUGGUCCCUUCAUGGGCAGACGUGGAUUGCUUGCUUGCUUGCUGUAUACAGGGCAAUGGGUGGGAGCUCUGACUUGCAAAGCGGGAACAGACAGUGAAGUUCUGACUUGUUGCUUUCUCUAAUUACUCUGUGUAGCUUCUGCUUUCUGCUGAAAUAAGAGUUUACCUCAACAAUCUAUAUUUGAGAAAAUAAUAUAAAAAAGUUCCCCCUCCCUCUUUUUUUGCUCUUUAAUCAGUUUUACAAUUAGAACUGAUCCAUUUGUUUCAACAAUAUAAACCUAUUAAAGAUCUGAUGAUUGUAAUCUCACUUUUAUCAUUUUCUAUACUAUAAUUACAUGUGUAAUUAUGGUAAAUGGGUACACGUUACAUGUUUACUGUAAUCAUUUUGCUCCCACAAUUCCUUUGAUUUUAAAGGGAAUUAAUGUUGAUCAAAUAUACCAGACAAAUUGCUCUUCAGUGGCAGUUGUAUCCUCUUAGUCACCCAAGUAGAUAGCAGACAAUAGUAUCACAGCCUCUCCAGACACAAUCUAGGCUCUGUCUGCUAUCUCCCAAAAUACUAAGACACUGUGGAAUGGAAUCACCCUGCAGGCCGGCUGUAUAGCUAGGGCUUCAUUUGAGCUCCUGAGAUUGUGGUUUUUGUGAUAUGAUUUUUGACUUGCAAAUAUUUCAAAAAAUUGGCUGAAGUCUCGAUUCAGAAAGUAGGCAAGCACUGAUGAAUCUAAAAUGAACAGCCAUACAGCUAUAUCAAGGAAAAAUGUGUAUAUACAGGCCAAAUUGACAAUAUAUUUAUCAUUCUUUCACUUUACUCUGUGCAGCCCAACUAUUGGACAAGAAAUGAUAGAUACUCUUUAGAGAGCAUGAGUUCAUUUGGCUUCCUUUCUUGGAAGUAAGUUUCUGUGUAUACUGAGGAGUCUGAGAUGAGAAUCACAAAACAUUAAAACAGUAACUGUGUCAUUGACACCGCUUGAGGUAACAUAAAGGACUAGGCAGGUAUUUCAUGUAUGGGUGUCUUUGACUCCUUCAGUAUUGUCUAAUAAGUUCUUGAGUCUUUUUUUGCAUCAUAGUUAAUUUCUACUUUUCCUUUUAUCUUAUUAAUAAUAAAUCACCUUAGAGGAUCUCCUAUAUGUUAGGAAUCAGUUAAGGGUAUAUGCUGGCUUUUUCCAAGAAAAGGUUACUUAACUUGUAUGAGGAAAAAAAUCAUACUAUUCUAACUUUUUUUGUGUCUUCAUUUUGUUCUUUAACUGUUCUGUGUAUUUUAUACAUACCACUUAAUUUGUGAUGCACAUAAUAUUUAUGUGAAUCUAAGCAUCUGUCACACAGAAAAAAGCAGGAACUAUGGUUGGGAGAACAUGUUAAAGGGAUAAAAAUGUUUUGCUCUCAUUUCCACUAAUAGUAUUUGCAUAAAGAGCUAAAAACUCUGUUGUAAUUAUUGUUAAGUUUACUUAUUUAUGCUUUUAAACUAGGUUUUUCAUACUUAUUUAUUUAAUAAUCUUGGACAUUUACUUUUAAUGUUGUUUCUGAAUGUGGAAACUGUAUUUAAAAAAUCAAAUCUGUGUAAUAAUAGAUAUGUUUAUACACGUUCAUGUGAUUGACAAUAAUUUGAAUUUUUAUUAGGUUUUGGGCUCUGAACUCUAGCUUUGGUAUUUCUAAAUUUUAGAUGCCUUGUUAAUAAAACAGGGAAAAUGUUAAAGUAAUAUAGAAUUCUUUUUGUUUACUUUUCUCAUUUAUUGAGAAAAUAAAAAUAAAACCUGGAUAUAUUGUUUUAUCACAAGUAGUGUGUAGCUUUUAUAUACUUGGCACAACAAAUAGGGAAUUAGUAUAGCAAAGUCUCCCUCUUAUCAAAGGGCUUUCAUUUGAUAUGUUCAAAACUAUAAAAUGCACUUUUACUUCACAUUCUCUGAAAUGAGUAAAUAUUGCCCUGGAGAAACCUGAGUCUUUGCAUGUGUUAUUCCCAGAGUCUACCUCAGGUCACCAUGCUUGUUAGUUUUAGAUAUGAAUCCAGUUCAGUUCUUCAUCUAUGCAGAUUUGUUUCUUUAAGUACUCUCUUCCCUUGUCCUCUUGCCCUCUUAUUAUUAACUUUUUCAUUUAAACACAAAAUUUUCUUAAAAGCUGUCUUGUCUGUCUUCCUCUUGCAAAGCCAUGUGUUCCCAAGUAGGCCUCUGUGGAUUGUCUGCUCUUCCCCCUGUUGUCAUGGCCACUUCAUUAUUUGGAUGUAUGUCAUUCUUAGGAGAAGGUUCAAACACAGUGUACAUCCUAGUUUCUCAUAGCUUUGUAAACAGGGACAUUAAAAAUUUUGGAACUAAUGUUCAUGUGUCUAGUCUCUAAGAACCUAAAUACUCUUUUUGAAAAACUCACAAAAGUGGACAAUGUACAUUCGUCAGGAGAAACUGCAGUGGGCGCUGUCUGGGUGCUCGCUGUGUGUUAUGGUGGUUUGUAAGUGUCUUGUCAAGAUUUUUGUUCCAGUGUUUGUCUCCCAGUAUUUGACUAGUUUAAAGAAAAAGCGUUUUCUAAAUUGCAUUUAUUAAACGUGUUUUUCUUCUCAUUUUGUGCUGCUACUUUGCUAGUCUUGAGCUUAGUUGGGUUUGUGUGUAGGUUGUAAUCCAGUAAUAAAUUUCUAGAGUGUUGGUUGUUUGUGUUUUGUUUUUUAUGUUCAGUCACUGGGAUGCUUCUUGCCACCAGUGGGAACAACAAACCCCGCUCACUAGUAAGAUAGGACUUUUCCCAGAUUUUUGUUCCUCAUAAAAUAACAUAUUGGUAACUUGACAUUUUGUACUUGCAGUGCAUUAUACUAAUAAUUUCAAGGUUGGUACAGGUAAGAAUUGUGGUUUUUCAGUUGAUUCUGUUUUAAUAAAUACACUUGUCUUAUUUGUGUAGCACCAUUGCAAAAAGCAUGUUCCAUAUGGUGGAUUUUCCAGAUGACUGAAUCUUAUUUUAUGACUUCUGUCACUGUUGUUAUUGUUAAAGUCCAUAGUUUACUGUAGAGUUCCCUGUAUCAUACAGUGUUAUGGAUUUUGACAAAAAACAAAAAGUCAUUUAUCCACCAUUGUAGUAUCAUACAGGCUAGUUUUUUUUCCUUCUCUUCAUUUUUCUUCCCUUCCCAAACCCUGGCAACCACUGAUCUUUUUAUUUCUCUAGUUUUCCCUUUUCCAGAGUGUCAUGUAGCUGGAAUCAUACAGUAUGCAGUCUUUUCAGGCUACUUGCUGUGAGUUACGCAUAAAGCAAAUAUGCAUUUAAGAUUCCUCUAUAUCUCUUUAUAGCUUGAUAGCUCAUUUCUUUUUAACACUGAAUAAUAUUCCAUUGUAUAGAUGUGCCACAGUUUGUUUAUCCAUUCACCUACGUUUAUAGUUCCAGCAACUCUGAAUAAAGUUGGUUUAAACAUUCUUGUGCA
rnacentral:lncRNA from 1 species